UACGAAGGGGGCUAGCGUUGCUCGGAAUCACUGGGCGUAAAGCGCACGUAGGCGGCUUCUUAAGUCAGGGGUGAAAUCCUGGAGCUCAACUCCAGAACUGCCUUUGAUACUGAGGAGCUUGAGUCCGGGAGAGGUGAGUGGAACUGCGAGUGUAGAGGUGAAAUUCGUAGAUAUUGGGAAGAACACCGGUGGCGAAGGCGGCUCACUGGCUCGUUUCUGACGCUGAGGCGCGAAAGCGUGGGGAGCAAACAGGG
rnacentral:rRNA from 1 species